UACGAAGGGUGCAAGCGUUACUCGGAAUUACUGGGCGUAAAGCGUGCGUAGGUGGUUCGUUAAGUCUGGCGUGAAAGCUCUCGGCUAAACCGGGAGAGGUCGUUGGAUACUGGCAAACUAGAGGACGGUAGAGGCGUGUGGAAUUCCGGGUGUAGUGGUGAAAUGCGUAGAGAUCCGGAGGAACACCAGUGGCGAAGGCGACACGCUGGGCCGUACCUGACACUGAUGCGCGACAGCAUGGGGAGCAAACAGG
rnacentral:rRNA from 1 species